rnacentral:tRNA from 1 species
GGGGCGUUAGCUCAGCUGAUUAGAGCGCCUGCUUUGCAAGCAGGAGGUCGAGGGUUUGAAUCCCUCACGCUCCACCA